AGAACGAACGCUGGCGGCAGGCCUAACACAUGCAAGUCGAACGCUCUUUUCGGAGAGAGUGGCGCACGGGUGAGUAACGCGUGGGAAUCUGCCCUUUGGUUCGGAAUAACCCUGGGAAACUAGGGCUAACACCGGAUAAGCCCCGCGAGGGGGAAAGUUUACGCCGAAGGAGGAGCCCGCGUCCGAUUAGCUAGUUGGUGAGGUAAGAGCUCACCAAGGCUUCGAUCGGUAGCUGGUCUGAGAGGACGAUCAGCCACACUGGGACUGAGACACGGCCCAGACUCCUACGGGAGGCAGCAGUGGGGAAUAUUGGACAAUGGGCGCAAGCCUGAUCCAGCCAUGCCGCGUGAGUGAUGAA
rnacentral:rRNA from 1 species